rnacentral:lncRNA from 1 species
GCCCCAUGAUUAUGCACGUGGAGUGGCAGGGUCAGCGAUGAGAAAUUCGGCAAGUUGGCUAGCCCAGCCUCCUUCCCAACAGUCUCCGCCAACACCCAACAUUGACAGCACCAGCUCUCAGGAGAAUGCUCUGGUGGCAGCACCCACAAGCUCUGUGGUCACGGCUUUCCCUGCCUGAUCUCCACGCCACUGCACACCAGCCUGAGAGACAGAGCACGACUCCAUCUCAAAGAAAAAACAAAAAAGAAAAGAAAAUGCAGAUCUCUGGGCCCCACCCAUACCUGGGGACUCAGAAUCACCAGGGCAAGGUCUCAUCCUUAUGCGUCACAUGUGUUUUGAGAUCUCAUUAUCUCCUGGGAGGCUGGAGUGCAGUGGUGUGAUCAUAGCUC